CUGUGCUCCAGCGCCUGGGAAGGGGAGUCUCCGGAGCGAGGGGGAGAAGAUAUAUUCCCUUGAGGAUCCACGUUGGUUCCUGCCUGACCCUCUUGGAGGUCAAAGUUCUGGGCACAUAAGAAACUCAGUAAAUAGUUUUUCU
rnacentral:lncRNA from 1 species